UGGUUUUAAUAUGGCAGUAGGGAUAUUUUCGAAUGCAUAACGAAGGUUUUCUCUUGUGUGGCGAGAAAUUGUACGACAUUGAUAAAAAAUGCCAAAACGGGCUUGUCCAUUUGAUGAUAAUUUGUCACCACAAUUGAAAGUGCACGUGGGACAAAAACAAGUUGAUAAUGGUGUUUUUAAAGAGGCACGAAUGAAGAAAGUUUACGAUAAAACUCUAAAUCUACUAAAGCUAGGAGCUAAAGAGUUAGCCCAAAAUGAAAAUGAUGAUUCUAUCGAUACAAAGCCUGCUGAGAUAUUUGCUCCUAAAGUAUUAUGCACUAAUAAAUCUAAAUCCCAACAAAAUUUGAAACAAAUGAUUUUAAAUAAUAAAUUGCAACUCGAGACUACAGGGAAAGAUAUAAAGGAUAUUCCUUUAGGGCUAUGCGGAUGUUGUCGCAUGAUUGAUCAAAAUGAAUCAACAAAAUGUUGUUACUGUGAUAAAAUUUUAUGUUCAUCGUGUUUGGCUAACUGUUCAAAGUGCUUUGAAACAUUCUGCAAAAAUUGUUCUCUCAUUAUGUAUGAUGGUGGCGAACAUAGCUUAUGCUUGAACUGCUAUCACUGAUUUUACAAAGACUGUCUAACAAAACUACUGCGAUCAAUUUAUAUAAUUUAUUAAUGCAUAUUUAUGAGGUAUAUCGUUGGUUAAUAUAUCUUUUCAUUUUUCUCCGGUUAAGUAACACAUUUUAAAAAUAUGCUUGGAAAACCUUACGAUAAAUACACGGAUUUCAUUGGUCACAUCUUACCGUUUGAAUGUAGUAAACACUG